AGAUGAUCGUUGUGGUCCUUUUCAACCAAGGCCAUUCUAUGAUUCUAUGAUCUAUUUGACAGGUGAGUGCUGCUGAAAUACAAGACCAAGAGAGAACUCAGAGGCAAAAAAAGUAUCUAGUCUUCAUGUGCUGAAUAGAAUAGAAAGCAAAAGAGCAAAGAUUCCUACCAUCGUUUGAAGAGUCAAGAAUUUUACAUGGUUUCCAAGUUUGUUGAUGGAUCCUAUCAGUAGCAGCAACACGUAUGUAGAAAUCAGUAGUGACUGUCUUAAAAACCAAUGAAGUUAAUUCAAUUAUUUUGCUACAGACUUCUGUGAAAUGAAACAAAGCUCUUGCAAAUGGGCUGAUGAUGUUAACAGUAGCAGCAUGCUUUCCAUGACUUAUGCACAAAGGAUAGCUUUGCUGCCCUAAGACAUUUUCAACUGGAGAUCUUAUCCAAAACUUCCUACCUUGCUAGUGCUUGUGUUGACAGCAACAGGAUUUCAAAUGUCUGAUCAUGUCCCAAGUGCAGGUCUCAGAUAAAGCAGUGCUAUCAUAGUUUAGGCUUUUUGUGACUUUUUUUUUUUUACUUGCCUCAGUGAUAUGUACUGUAAACUGAAUGAGUAUUUGCAAAAGAUAUAAAUUUUGGCACCUGUUCCUCUUUUAAAUUACUAUUUUCUCCCUCAGUCUGUAAAGGAAGUUUAAAAGAAGCAAGGCAAGCACAACGGAAACAACAUAAAGGGUUGAGCACUACAGAGUCCAGUAGCAUUUCCCAUUGAGCAGACAGGCAUUAAACAUCUGGUGAUAUUUCCCACAGCCAAACGCUACCAGCAGCAGCUGUCUGCCCUGGCCAGUGGCAGCACUCUGGGACAGGACACACCACAUGCCAACAAGCACCGGUUCGCUGCCCCCUAACACGUUUGUCCAUAAGCAGCUUUUAUCCCAUCUGGGGUGCACCCCACAGUAACACAAGUGUGGGGUCUGAAAAGCCGUGGGGUUCUUUUUUCCCUUGUUGUUAGUUCAGUAUUGCUAUUAACGUCCUUCAGAGCAGACGUCAGUAGAAGGAGGUAAGCGUCCACCCCACACGAAGGCAGUACUGAGGAACCUUCUGGAAGGACAGACAGUUCUAGAAACCCCCACCAACACCCCAGGGUGACUGAGCCACGCACAGCCAACACUUGCAUUGGAAACACCUGUGACGGGAAAUCACGCACCACGCACCUCUGGGGCAACACCAGGCCAUUCUGAGAGAAACCCAAGAUAACGCGUGUGCCUGCUGCUCAGAGACCACUCACUGCAGCUGUAACAUUACACAGCAUUCACUGCAUCUUAUCAACUGCUUGAAGCUACACAUACCACUGGAUGGACAAAACUGUGUUUGUCGAAAGCCUACUGGAGAAUUUGAGCUGCUUCAAGAUAAAUCCAAGUGAAUAGCUAAAAAUGUAUGCUGCACAGGAUUAACAUGUAUCUAAUGCUUCCAUAUGAGAAACACAGCAGUUUAAAGAGUAUGGUACAAAGAACAUACAGAUUUUUUUGUGUAAGUGUAUCUCUACACCUGUCUGUGUCCAUGACAGUGGAACAGCAGGCUCAGCAGCCCAAAAAGGGGAAGAGGGAAAGAAAAAAAAAAAAAACAGCAGCAACAAACAGAUAGAGGAGUAUUAAUUUACUAAUUAUAGUAGCAGAAACACAAGUUAAUUGGGUUUGGAGCUAAUAAAUGAAAUAAAAUGAGAGACUUUCUGAAAACUUCUGAAACUCUGAUUUGUCAGGGAGCAUAUAGAGAAACAGAAAAGCAAAGUUUUUUGGGAGCUGUAGUACAUUUAUUCUGAGACUCCCAGUGCACUACAUGAUGUGAUGAUGUGGAAUACUGAUAACAAAAAUCAUAAAACCACAACAGUAUGUGGUCUUAUAGUCAAGAAAGAGACUUGCUUGAGUAUAUCAGUGGUGACAAGAUUCAUAUUUCUGAUGAAAAUAUGAGAUAUUAUUAACUCUUAACUUACAUAACACAUGAAAUUGGGAACCUUAAUAUUCAUAAAUUAGUUUCCUACUGGAAAUUGAAAUGUUGAAACUGUCACUGAACUUCACACACACACCGAAGACUUAAUUCAUGAUGAAUUAGCUC